rnacentral:rRNA from 1 species
GAUGAACGCUGGCGGCGUGCUUAACACAUGCAAGUCGAACGAUUAAAGCCCCUUCGGGGGUGUAUAGAGUGGCGAACGGGUGAGUAACACGUGGGCAACCUGCCCUGCGCUUCGGGAUAACUCAGGGAAACUUGAGCUAAUACCGGAUACUCCUUGGGGAUCGCGUGGUCCCCUUGGGAAAGUUCCGGCGGCGCAGGAUGGGCCCGCGGCCCAUUAGCUUGUUGGUGAGGUAACGGCUCACCAAGGCGACGAUGGGUAGCCGAGCUGAGAGGCUGAUCGGCCACACUGGGACUGAGACACGGCCCAGACUCCUACGGGAGGCAGCAGUGGGGAAUUUUGGACAAUGGGCGCAAGCCUGAUCCAGCCAUGCCGCGUGCGGGAAGAAGGCCUUCGGGUUGUAAACCGCUUUUGUCAGGGAAGAAAAGGGUGUUUCUAAUACAGACGCCUCAUGACGGUACCUGAAGAAUAAGCACCGGCUAACUACGUGCCAGCCGCCGCCGUAAUAC